rnacentral:lncRNA from 1 species
UUAAGGGGUUGAUUAGCUAGUUGAUUAAUCACCUUUAUAAGCUAGAAAGACCUUAAGCUAGGUCAUGAAAUCAUUUAGAACCGAGACCCUCAAAAGAGUCCCCUAAAAACAGUUUUUAGUUUUAAGUUAGGAGUGAGGGUCAACUUUAAAUAGUCAUAUCUUUUAGCUCAAAAUGAAUUAGGUGGACCAUUACCUAUCCAAUUAAAGGUAUCUGAGUCCUCUUUCCAACGCCAC